rnacentral:rRNA from 1 species
AUGGAGAGCGCGUGGAGGAAGGCCAAGAGGGCGCUGGCCCUCCGUCUCUGCGUGCUCGUCCCCGCCGAGGGCGAUGGGAGGCCGGCGGCCUCGGGCGCCGGCGGGUGUCGGGGCGAGGCGGCCGUGACGGUGGGGUCCGCGCCCGAGGAGCCGGCGGCCGGCGGCGGCGCGUUGCGGAGGUCCAAGUCCGGGAGCAGGUCCUCCUCCAAGAGGAAAUGUGCAAUAUGCUUUGACUCUAUGAGAUCAGGCCAUGGUCAAGCCUUGUUCACUGCAGAAUGCUCUCAUAAGUUCCAUUUUCACUGCAUUUCAUCCAAUGUGAAACAUGGGAAUCAUGUCUGCCCAGUCUGCCGGGCAAAGUGGAAAGAGAUACCCUUGAAUCGCUCACUCUCUUCCAACAUUCCUGAUGGAAGACGUGGAAUUAAUGGAGUCCAAUUGCCACAACAAGAUGCCUAUGUGGCUCUUCUCCACCAAGUUCCAAACCGUCAGCGAGGAGUUCGUCGCUUACAUACUUUUGAGCCAACAGACUUCAAUGACGAUGAAUCUUUACAGCAGACAGAAGCUACUGACAGUCUUAAUUCUCGGUCUAAGAAGACUGCAGAAAUCAGUACAUAUCCAGAAUUCUCAUCCAUUCCACAGUCAUCAUCUCAAGAUGGAUUUUCUGUUCUGAUCCAUCUGAAAGCUCCCAGUGCUAGCUCAGACCAGGCCACAGGCAGAUUGGUCAAUGAAAGCUCAGUUAGAUCCCCAAGCGGACGUGCUCCUGUUGAUCUUGUCACAGUGAUUGAUAUUAGUGGCAGUAUGGCAGGCACCAAGCUGGCACUGCUAAAGCGGGCAAUGGGCUUUGUGAUUCAACACCUUGGUCCAUCUGAUCGCCUUUCUGUAAUUGCUUUCUCAUCUUCUGCCCGAAGGCUGUUCCACCUUCAGCGCAUGUCGCAUUAUGGCAGGCAGCAGGCCUUGCAGGCUAUUAACUCGCUUGGUGCUGGUGGUGGCACAAACAUUGCUGAAGCACUUAAGAAAGCUACGAAGGUGAUUGAGGAUCGCAGCUAUAAGAAUUCAGUGUGCAGCAUCAUUCUUCUGUCUGACGGGCAAGAUACCUACAACCUUAGCUCAAAUGCUCGAGGGGGCUCGAAAGAUUAUAGCACACUUGUCCCGCAGUCUAUUCUGGAUGAUACACGGCGUAUGCUGCCUAUUCAUGCUUUUGGAUUUGGAGCAGACCAUGAUUCAGACUCCCUGCAUUCAGUUGCUGAAGCUUCUGGUGGCACAUUUUCCUUUAUCGAAGAUGAAGGCGUGAUGCAGGAUGCGUUUGCUCAAUGCAUUGGUGGGCUUCUUAGCGUCGUCGUACAGGAGAUGCGACUCAACAUGGAAUGUGUUCAUCCUGGUGUUCAACUCUGUUCCAUCAAAUCUGGUAGCUACCCAAGCAUGAUGGCAAGGGAUGGGCGGAGCUGUUCAGUUGAUAUUGGUCAUCUGUAUGCUGAUGAGGAGAGAGACAUUUUGCUGUCAGUGAACAUCCCACAGUCUCGCGAACAGACCUCACUGUUAAAGGUUGCUUGUUCUUACAGGGAUCUAACAAAUGAGACCAUCAAGCUUAAAGUCGAUGAGGUGAAGAUCAACAGGCCGAUGUCAGCCAUAUCUGAAAAUGUAUCCAUUGAGGUUGAUCGUGAGCGGAACCGCAUACAGGCCGCUGAUUCUAUUGAAUCUGCGAGGGCUGCUGCUGAGAGGGGUGCUCUCGCUGAGGCUGUGACCAUUCUGGAGGACUGCCGGAGGAGAUUAUCAGAGUCCUUUGCUAGCAGGAGCGGGGACCGUCUAUCCUUGGCCCUUGAUGCAGAACUGAGGGAGAUGCAGGAGAGGAUGGCAAGUCGCCAGCUCUAUGAAGCUUCAGGGAGGGCCUACAUGCUAUCUGGACUGAGUUCGCAUUCCUGGCAGCGAGCGACGACGCGCGGGGACUCGACAGAGAGCAGCACCAUUGUUCACUCCUACCAGACGCCAUCCAUGGUUCAGAUGUUACAGCAUUCGCAGAGCCAUAUCCCUUCGCCUCCGGGCCAGCAGCCACAAGCCCGACCACCCAGGCCGUCGGCAAGGUAG